CGGAGGGUGCAAGCGUUAUCCGGAUUCACUGGGUUUAAAGGGAGCGCAGGCGGAUUUGUAAGUCAGUGGUGAAAUACCUGAGCUUAACUCGGGAACUGCCAUUGAUACUACAGGUCUUGAAUAUUGUUGAGGUUUGCGGAAUGGGUCAUGUAGCGGUGAAAUGCAUAGAUAUGACCCGGAACACCUAUUGCGAAGGCAGCAGGCUAAACAAUGAUUGACGCUGAGGCUCGAAAGCGUGGGGAUCAAACAGGAUUAGAUACCCUGGUAGUCCACGCCCUAAACGAUGAUUACUCGACAUACGCGAUAUGACUGUGUGUGUCUGAGCGAAAGCAUUAAGUAAUCCACCUGGGAAGUACGACCGCAAGGUUG
rnacentral:rRNA from 1 species